rnacentral:rRNA from 1 species
UGCAAGUCGAACGAUGAAGCCCAGCUUGCUGGGUGGAUUAGUGGCGAACGGGUGAGUAACACGUGAGUAACCUGCCCUUAACUCUGGGAUAAGCCUGGGAAACUGGGUCUAAUACCGGAUAGGAGCGUCCACCGCAUGGUGGGUGUUGGAAAGAUUUAUCGGUUUUGGAUGGACUCGCGGCCUAUCAGCUUGUUGGUGAGGUAAUGGCUCACCAAGGCGACGACGGGUAGCCGGCCUGAGAGGGUGACCGGCCACACUGGGACUGAGACACGGCCCAGACUCCUACGGGAGGCAGCAGUGGGGAAUAUUGCACAAUGGGCGAAAGCCUGAUGCAGCGACGCCGCGUGAGGGAUGACGGCCUUCGGGUUGUAAACCUCUUUCAGUAGGGAAGAAGCGAAAGUGACGGUACCUGCAGAAGAAGCACCGGCUAACUACGUGCCAGCAGCCGCGGUAAUACGUAGGGUGCGAGCGUUAUCCGGAAUUAUUGGGCGUAAAGAGCUCGUAGGCGGUUUGUCGCGUCUGUCGUGAAAGUCCGGGGCUUAACCCCGGAUCUGCGGUGGGUACGGGCAGACUAGAGUGCAGUAGGGGAGACUGGAAUUCCUGGUGUAGCGGUGGAAUGCGCAGAUAUCAGGAGGAACACCGAUGGCGAAGGCAGGUCUCUGGGCUGUAACUGACGCUGAGGAGCGAAAGCAUGGGGAGCGAACAGGAUUAGAUACCCUGGUAGUCCAUGCCGUAAACGUUGGGCACUAGGUGUGGGGACCAUUCCACGGUUUCCGCGCCGCAGCUAACGCAUUAAGUGCCCCGCCUGGGGAGUACGGCCGCAAGGCUAAAACUCAAAGGAAUUGACGGGGGCCCGCACAAGCGGCGGAGCAUGCGGAUUAAUUCGAUGCAACGCGAAGAACCUUACCAAGGCUUGACAUGUUCUCGAUCGCCGUAGAGAUACGGUUUCCCCUUUGGGGCGGGUUCACAGGUGGUGCAUGGUUGUCGUCAGCUCCUGUCGUGAGAUGUUGGGUUAAGUCCCGCAACGAGCGCAACCCUCGUUCCAUGUUGCCAGCACGUCGUGGUGGGGACUCAUGGGAAACUGCCGGGGUCAACUCGGAGGAAGGG